CACGGGCUAACAAAGACGGAGGAACGGGGUAAGUUUCCUGCAAUAAAGCUACGCCAAAACGAGGCUAUUGUGUAAUGUCACGCUAAUCUAUAUUUUCGUGGCCUUUACGCAGAUUCCCACUGGGUACCGGAAAUAAAGGCGUUCGUUUGGACGAGAAUGACGCCGGCGCACUGGGCAAGGCUGGAGAAACGCUGUUGACAUUGGGUCGGCUGCUUCAGGGCGAGAACGUUGCUUUAAGCAAGGAGGCCAAAAGCGACUUCUUCAAGGUCAUCCAGGUUUUGGCUCACAAUGGCGAAGACCUAAGCGACGGCGCCUCCGAGUAUUUUUUGCCCAUCCUGGUCCGCGCUAUAACUAGGGGUGUAGUAGCCCACACAGUGCAAAAGAACUUGAACAGAGGAUAAAACAGUUUUUUAUACUUUAUGAAGAUAUCAUAAAGAGUUUGUGUGCGAAUUGAAGAAUGCAAUAAAAUUUGUUAAACGCG